UCAUUGCGAUAGUAAUCCUGCUCAGUACGAGAGGAGCCGCAGAUUCGGACAUUUGGUUCACGCACUCGGUCGAGCGGCCGGUGGUGCGAAGCUACCAUCUGUGGGAUUAUGCCUGAACGCCUCUAUCAAGGCCGUAUCCUCUCUAGUCAAAAGUGGCAAUGA
rnacentral:ncRNA from 1 species